CUAAAGUUGGUACAACCUAGACACCAUUUGGUAUUUCCAUUGGUUUAUCGCCUCAUUACACUUGCAUUGAUAUUACCGGCGGCAACAACAUUAAUUAAUAGUGUUUAUUCAUCCAUGAAUAUUAUUGAAACCAAUCUUUGAAAUAAGAUGGGUGAUGAAUGGCUCAAUGAUCUUAUGGUUUGCUUUGUUGAGCGCGAGAUAUUUGCCAAAAUCAAUGACGAGCAGACUACGACACAUUUUCAUGCUUUGAAGCAACGUCGAGGCUAG
rnacentral:rRNA from 1 species